CAAUAGCGUAUAUUAAAGUUGUUGCGGUUAAACGCUCGUAGUUGGUUUCUGUCGGGGUGACUGGUCGUCCCAAGUGGAUAGUACCUGCUUUGCUCCUGGCAUCUUCCAAGGGAACACGUUCGCACUUCACUGUGUGGCGUGAGAGCUUGGACUUUACUUUGAGGAAAUAAGAGUGCUUCAAGCGGGUAAUUGCCACGAAUACGUUAGCAUGGAAUAAUAGUAUUGGACCUCGGACCGAAGCUGUUGGUUGCUGGAACGAGGGGAGGAUAAACAGGGACAGUUGGGGGUGAUUCUGUAUUUAACUUGAUCUCAGAGGUUGAAAAUUCUUGGAUUUGUUAAAGACGGACUACUGCGAAAGCAUUUACCAAGGAUGUUUUCUUGAUCAAGAACGAAAGUUAGGGGAUCGAAGGAC
rnacentral:rRNA from 1 species